rnacentral:rRNA from 1 species
UACGAAGGGGGCUAGCGUUGUUCGGAAUUACUGGGCGUAAAGCGCACGCAGGCGGCUCGUUGAAUUAGAAGUGAAAGCCCUGGGCUCAACCCGGGAAUUGCUUUUAAGACUGGCGAGCUAGAAUCCAGAAGAGGGUAGCGGAAUUCCCAGUGUAGAGGUGAAAUUCGUAGAUAUUGGGAAGAACACCAGUGGCGAAGGCGGCUACCUGGUCUGGUAUUGACGCUCAGGUGCGAAAGCGUGGGGAGCAAACAGG